rnacentral:tRNA from 1 species
GCUAGCGUAGCUUAGGCUAAAGCAUACCACUGAAGAUGAUAAGAUGGGCCCUAGAAAGCCCCGCAAGCA